UACACUGAGGCAGUGCCCAUCUUAGA
rnacentral:piRNA from 1 species